rnacentral:rRNA from 1 species
AUUGAACGCUGGCGGCAGGCCUAACACAUGCAAGUCGAACGGUAACAGGAAACAGCUUGCUGUUUCGCUGACGAGUGGCGGACGGGUGAGUAAUGUCUGGGAAACUGCCUGAUGGAGGGGGAUAACUACUGGAAACGGUAGCUAAUACCGCAUAACGUCGCAAGACCAAAGAGGGGGACCUUCGGGCCUCUUGCCAUCGGAUGUGCCCAGAUGGGAUUAGCUAGUAGGUGGGGUAACGGCUCACCUAGGCGACGAUCCCUAGCUGGUCUGAGAGGAUGACCAGCCACACUGGAACUGAGACACGGUCCAGACUCCUACGGGAGGCAGCAGUGGGGAAUAUAGCACAAUGGGCGCAAGCCUGAUGCAGCCAUGCCGCGUGUAUGAAGAAGGCCUUCGGGUUGUAAAGUACUUUCAGCGGGGAGGAAGGGAGUAAAGUUAAUACCUUUACUCAUUGACGUUACCCGCAGAAGAAGCACCGGCUAACUCCGUG